rnacentral:lncRNA from 1 species
CAGGGGAGGAAGACGAUUCGCCGAGGCCGAGUUCGUCAAAGAAAAAUAGCUUCCCGAUACUUCAGAGGCGGUCGUACCUUCUGAUGCUCGUUUUCUGGGCUUUCAAGCUGUUGAAAUCCCACACUUAUAUUUGCUCAAGCUGUUGAAAUCCCACACUUAUAUUUGCUCAGAGGAAAACAUGGGAACCAUUUGCUGGAUGCUGAAGGUGGAAUUAGUUUUGAAGGGGGAGAUGAUAUUGUAUGACAUUCGAGGUGAUAUUCCAGGAUGGCAGCCAUGGCAGGUGUGAGAGUGGUGGCCGGAGAUUGGGAUCUGCCGUAUCGGUGGUUGAGGGCAUUUAUUAUUAAUUUAAGUUUUUAAUUUUUUAAUUUCCUUUUUAACAAGGAAAAAAAAUGUGUAAAAUGCUGGUUUAACCCUAAACUACUGACAAGUGGAAAUUGAUCCUGAACUAUUUUUCUAAUAAAUUAAUUUUUUGAACUAUUUAAAAUUAGUCAAUUAAUUUUUGUUUUGUUAGAUUACGUCUAUUAUUUCGUCAAAUUCAAAGACAAAUUAGUUAUUUUAUCAUAAAUUCUUAUUUGUCAAUUAUAAGCAUUAAUAAAAUUAUGACAUAUAAACACAAAAUAAUGUGUAAAACAUAUAGCAUAAAAGGUUGUACUCAGUGCACAAGGCUUCGGCUUUACGCAGGGUCUGGGAGAGGUGAAUGUCGGCUAGCCUUACCCCCAUUUUAUGGAGAGACUGCUCCCAAGUCUCGAACUCGAGACCUACCGUUCAUGGGUGAAGGUACUUGUCAUCGCACCAAAUACGACCUCUUUAUAAAACAUAUAGCAUAAUAAGAAAAUAUCAAAAAUUGAACAUUUAUGUAAAACAUAUAACAUAAUAAGAAAACAUAAAAAAAUGAACGUUUACAUUACACAUUAUUUUAUAUUCAUAUUUCAUAAUUUUAUUGAUGAUAAUAGUUGACAAAUAAAAAUUGAUGAUGAAAAGAUUAAUUUGCUUUUGAAUUUGAGAAGAUAGUAGAUAGAAUCUACCAACAAGGAAUUAAUUGAUUAAUUUUCCAAAAAAAAUUAGUUUAAAUGGUCAAUUUCAACUGAAAUAAUAACUCAAAUAAUCAAAUAACAGUUUGCUCAAAAUAAAACAUAAAGAAGGCUAUAAGUUCAGCUGCAAAAAAAUGUGCGCGUGGCAAAAUUUGAGUGGAAGUACUAAAAAGCAGCUGACGUAUACCGUAUCACUCGAUAAUUUCUCCCAUUAGUGUAAAAUGUGUAAAAUUAAAAAAUUGUGGCACAUUUUACAAAUCACUUCAAAUGUCGAGGGUUUGAGAUGUAAUUAGCCAUUUUAUUUAUAUAACCGCAC